rnacentral:rRNA from 1 species
GAUCCUGGCUCAGGACGAACGCUGGCGGCGUGCUUAACACAUGCAAGUCGAACGAGAAUCUGUGGAACGAGGACUCGUCCAAGUGAAGCAGAGGACAGUGGCGGACGGGUGAGUAACGCGUGAGGAACCUGCCUUUCAGAGGGGGACAACAGUUGGAAACGACUGCUAAUACCGCAUAACACAUGGGUGUCGCAUGGCACUGAUGUCAAAGAUUUAUCGCUGAAAGAUGG